UGGGGAAUAUUGCACAAUGGAGGGAACUCUGAUGCAGCGACGCCGCGUGAACGAAGAAGGCUUUCGAGUCGUAAAGUUCUUUUAUAUGGGAAGAUAAUGACGGUAUCAUAAGAAAAAGCCCCGGCUAACUACGUGCCAGCAGCCGCGGUAAUACGUAGGGGGCUAGCGUUGUCCGGAAUCACUGGGCGUAAAGGGUUCGCAGGCGGAAAUGCAAGUCAGGUGUAAAAGGCAGUAGCUUAACUACUGUAAGCAUUUGAAACUGCAUAUCUUGAGAAGAGUAGAGGUAAGUGGAAUUUUUAGUGUAGCGGUGAAAUGCGUAGAUAUUAAAAAGAAUACCGGUGGCGAAGGCGGCUUACUGGGCUCAUUCUGACGCUGAGGAACGAAAGCGUGGGUAGCAAACAGG
rnacentral:rRNA from 1 species